rnacentral:tRNA from 1 species
GGAGGGGUACUCAAGCCGGUUGAAGAGGCGAGUUUGCUAAACUCGUAGUGGGGUGUAAGCUCCAGCGCGGGUUCGAAUCCCGCCCCCUCCGCCA